GUUCUUGUAGUUGAAUAACAACGACGGCUUUUCAUGCCGUUAGUCCUGGUUAAAGUCCUGGCGAGAAUU
rnacentral:tRNA from 1 species